UCAUUUCACUUAAAACAAAAAGCGCGGUUUUACCCCCAAAUUUUCCCCCUCUGAAACCCCUAAUUUUUCCCCCUAAAAUGGCCCCUCCGUUGCUCUUUUCAAUCAAGAAACUCUCCAGCAGCAGUCUUGAUUUGGUUUCCAGUUAGACUCGAGAUAGAAGAGAUGGCAGUGAACCAGUAUAGGCGUUGAAGGUGGGUCCACCUCUGUAUUGGCAUUUCAUGGAAGGAUUAGUAGUCUUCAGCCACACUUCCAACACUUGCCCACCUUGCCUUUGCGAUUGCUCUUCUCACAAUCCUUGAAGAUGAUGGAACUUAUGCAAUGAAGAAAGUUCUCAUUCAGAAUAAUGAACAGUUAGAAUUGGUUCGGGAGGAGAUCCGUUUAGUCAUCGAAAUCUUCUUCCCCUUCUUGAUCAUGCUAUCAUUUCUAUUAAGCCUACACAAGAAGGAUCAUGGAAUCACGACGCAUAUUUACUAUUUCCCGUUCAUUUGGAUGGAACUUUACUGGACAAUUUCAAAGCUAUGAGUGCUAAAAAUGAUUUCUUUUCUACCUCGGAUGU